rfam:Ophiophagus hannah scaffold5751.1, whole genome shotgun sequence.
UUCUGUUGUCCUUCAUUCCACCGGAGUCUGUCUCAUACCUAAUCAGAUUUCAGUGGCAUGAAGUACAUGAGACA